GACGAACGCUGGCGGCGUGCCUAAUACAUGCAAGUAGAACGCACAGUUUAUACCGUAGCUUGCUACACCAUAGACUGUGAGUUGCGAACGGGUGAGUAACGCGUAGGUAACCUGCCUGGUAGCGGGGGAUAACUAUUGGAAACGAUAGCUAAUACCGCAUAAUAUUAAUUAUUGCAUGAUAAUUAAUUGAAAGGUGCAAUUGCACCACUACCAGAUGGACCUGCGUUGUAUUAGCUAGUAGGUGAGGUAACGGCUCACCUAGGCGACGAUACAUAGCCGACCUGAGAGGGUGAUCGGCCACACUGGGACUGAGACACGGCCCAGACUCCUACGGGAGGCAGCAGUAGGGAAUCUUCGGCAAUGGACGAAAGUCUGACCGAGCAACGCCGCGUGAGUGAAGAAGGUUUUCGGAUCGUAAAGCUCUGUUGUAAGAGAAGAACGGGUGUGAGAGUGGAAAGCUCACACUGGACG
rnacentral:rRNA from 1 species